CUAAGUUGCGGUUCACAUUGAAAGUAUCAACGUCAACGAAAGUGAAUCUUAAUCGAACCUAACCUACAUGGAUAAAAAUAUAAACCAUGGAAAGACACGUUAGUGUGUUACUGGAGGUCGAGAUUCCUAAAAUGAAACAAUGCAGCAGCAGUCAACUUCAUCACUGUCCCUUCUGCAUAUAUAAGGCUGAACAAUGUAUGGUCAACAACCACACCAAAGGCCAACAACCACAUCGAAGGUCAUGCUUCAGUGAGGCACAGAGAGUUCACAAUCAUAAAGUGUGGCUUCAGUUGUAGAAAUGUGACACUUUCGUUGUUGCUAUUGCACGGCAACAAUAAUCAACAGAGC